rnacentral:rRNA from 1 species
UGGGGAAUUUUGGACAAUGGGGGAAACCCUGAUCCAGCCAUCCCGCGUGUGCGAUGAAGGCCUUCGGGUUGUAAAGCACUUUUGGCAGGAAAGAAACGUCGCGGGUUAAUACCCCGCGAAACUGACGGUACCUGCAGAGUAAGCACCGGCUAACUACGUGCCAGCAGCCGCGGUAAUACGUAGGGUGCAAGCGUUAAUCGGAAUUACUGGGCGUAAAGCGUGCGCAGGCGGUUCGGAAAGAAAGAUGUGAAAUCCCAGAGCUUAACUUUGGAACUGCAUUUUUAACUACCGGGCUAGAGUGUGUCAGAGGGAGGUGGAAUUCCGCGUGUAGCAGUGAAAUGCGUAGAUAUGCGGAGGAACACCGAUGGCGAAGGCAGCCUCCUGGGAUAACACUGACGCUCAUGCACGAAAGCGUGGGGAGCAAACAGGAUUAGAUACCCUGGUAGUCCACGCCCUAAACGAUGUCAACUAGCUGUUGGGGCCUUCGGGCCUUGGUAGCGCAGCUAACGCGUGAAGUUGACCGCCUGGGGAGUACGGUCGCAAGAUUAAAACUCAAAGGAAUUGAC